GAUGAACGCUGGCGGCGUGCCUAAUACAUGCAAGUCGAGCGAACAGACGAGGAGCUUGCUCCUCUGACGUUAGCGGCGGACGGGUGAGUAACACGUGGAUAACCUACCUAUAAGACUGGGAUAACUUCGGGAAACCGGAGCUAAUACCGGAUAAUAUAUUGAACCGCAUGGUUCAAUAGUGAAAGACGGUUUUGCUGUCACUUAUAGAUGGAUCCGCGCCGCAUUAGCUAGUUGGUAAGGUAACGGCUUACCAAGGCAACGAUGCGUAGCCGACCUGAGAGGGUGAUCGGCCACACUGGAACUGACACACGGUCCAGACUCCUACGGGACGCAGCAGUAGGGAAUCUUCCGCAAUGGGCGAAAGCCUGACGGAGCAACGCCGCGUGAGUGAUGAAGGUCUUCGGAUCGUAAAACUCUGUUAUUAGGGAAGAACAAAUGUGUAAGUAACUAUGCACGUCUUGACGGUACCUAAUCAGAAAGCCACGGCUAACUACGUG
rnacentral:rRNA from 1 species